rnacentral:rRNA from 1 species
CCUACGGGAGGCUGCAGUGGGGAAUAUUGGGCAAUGGGCGCACGCCUGACCCAGCCACGCCGCGUGAAGGAAGAAGGCUUUCGGGUUGUAAAGAUCUGUUGACAGGGACGAAUAAGCAAUGCGAAUAGUUUUUUGUAUGACGGUACCUGUUUAGAACGCUCCGGCUAACUACGUGCCACCAGCCGCGGUAAUACGUAGGGAGCAAGCGUUGUACGGAAUUACUGGGCGUAAAGGGCGCGGAGGUGGGCGCGUAAGUCAGGUGUGAAAACUCCGGGCUCAACCUGGAGACUGCACUUGAAACUGGGUGUCUUGAGGGCAGGAGAGGAAAGUGGAAUGCCUAGUGUAGCGGUGAAAUGCGUAGAUAUUAGGAGGAACACCAGUGGCGAAGGCGACUUUCUGGACUGUACCUGACGCUGAGGCGCGAAAGCGUGGGUAGCGAACGGGAUUAGAUACCCUGGUAGUC